AGGGGGUGGGGGGGGGGUGCCUAAUACAUGCAAGUCGAGCGAACAGAUAAGGAGCUUGCUCCUUUGACGUUAGCGGCGGACGGGUGAGUAACACGUGGGUAACCUACCUAUAAGACUGGGAUAACUUCGGGAAACCGGAGCUAAUACCGGAUAACAUUUGGAACCGCAUGGUUCUAAAGUGAAAGAUGGUUUUGCUAUCACUUAUAGAUGGACCCGCGCCGUAUUAGCUAGUUGGUAAGGUAACGGCUUACCAAGGCGACGAUACGUAGCCGACCUGAGAGGGUGAUCGGCCACACUGGAACUGAGACACGGUCCAGACUCCUACGGGAGGCAGCAGUAGGGAAUCUUCCGCAAUGGGCGAAAGCCUGACGGAGCAACGCCGCGUGAGUGAUGAAGGGUUUCGGCUCGUAAAACUCUGUUAUUAGGGAAGAACAAACGUGUAAGUAACUGUGCACGUCUUGACGGUACCUAAUCAGAAAGCCACGGCUAACUACGUGCCAGCAGCCGCGGUAAUACGUAGGUGGCAAGCGUUAUCCGGAAUUAUUGGGCGUAAAGCGCGCGUAGGCGGUUUCUUAAGUCUGAUGUGAAAGCCCACGGCUCAACCGUGGAGGGUCAUUGGAAACUGGGAAACUUGAGUGCAGAAGAGGAAAGUGGAAUUCCAUGUGUAGCGGUGAAAUGCGCAGAGAUAUGGAGGAACACCAGUGGCGAAGGCGACUUUCUGGUCUGUAACUGACGCUGAUGUGCGAAAGCGUGGGGAUCAAACAGGAUUAGAUACCCUGGUAGUCCACGCCGUAAACGAUGAGUGCUAAGUGUUAGGGGGUUUCCGCCCCUUAGUGCUGCAGCUAACGCAUUAAGCACUCCGCCUGGGGAGUACGACCGCAAGGUUGAAACUCAAAGGAAUUGACGGGGACCCGCACAAGCGGUGGAGCAUGUGGUUUAAUUCGAAGCAACGCGAAGAACCUUACCAAAUCUUGACAUCCUUUGAAAACUCUAGAGAUAGAGCCUUCCCCUUCGGGGGACAAAGUGACAGGUGGUGCAUGGUUGUCGUCAGCUCGUGUCGUGAGAUGUUGGGUUAAGUCCCGCAACGAGCGCAACCCUUAAGCUUAGUUGCCAUCAUUAAGUUGGGCACUCUAGGUUGACUGCCGGUGACAAACCGGAGGAAGGUGGGGAUGACGUCAAAUCAUCAUGCCCCUUAUGAUUUGGGCUACACACGUGCUACAAUGGACAAUACAAAGGGCAGCUAAACCGCGAGGUCAUGCAAAUCCCAUAAAGUUGUUCUCAGUUCGGAUUGUAGUCUGCAACUCGACUACAUGAAGCUGGAAUCGCUAGUAAUCGUAGAUCAGCAUGCUACGGUGAAUACGUUCCCGGGUCUUGUACACACCGCCCGUCACACCACGAGAGUUUGUAACACCCGAAGCCGGUGGAGUAACCAUUUAUGGAGCUAAGCCGUCGAAAAGGGGGACAAA
rnacentral:rRNA from 1 species